rnacentral:rRNA from 1 species
UCCUUUGACGUUAGCGGCGGACGGGUGAGUAACACGUGGGUAACCUACCUAUAAGACUGGAAUAACUCCGGGAAACCGGGGCUAAUGCCGGAUAACAUUUAGAACCGCAUGGUUCUAAAGUGAAAGAUGGUUUUGCUAUCACUUAUAGAUGGACCCGCGCCGUAUUAGCUAGUUGGUAAGGUAAUGGCUUACCAAGGCAACGAUACGUAGCCGACCUGAGAGGGUGAUCGGCCACACUGGAACUGAGACACGGUCCAGACUCCUACGGGAGGCAGCAGUAGGGAAUCUUCCGCAAUGGGCGAAAGCCUGACGGAGCAACGCCGCGUGAGUGAUGAAGGGUUUCGGCUCGUAAAACUCUGUUAUUAGGGAAGAACAAACGUGUAAGUAACUGUGCACGUCUUGACGGUACCUAAUCAGAAAGCCACGGCUAACUACGUGCCAGCAGCC